ACGGGAGGCAGCAGUCGAGGAUCAUUUGCAAUGGGCGAAAGCCUGACAAUGCGACGCUGCGUGGAGGAUGAAGGCCUUCGGGUUGUAAACUCCUGUCAUAGGGGAACAGGCGGACCGACCCAAUACGUCGGCGAGUUGAGUGUACCCUAAGAGGAAUUGGCGGCUAACUCUGUGCCAGCAGCCGCGGUAAUACAGAGGCCAAGAGCGUUGUCCGGAUUUACUGGGCGUAAAGGGCGCGUAGGCGGUCUUGCGUGUCAAGUGUGAAAUCUCCGGGCUCAACCCGGAAAGUGCGCUUGAAACUACAGGACUCGAGUCUGGGAGAGGGAAUCGGAAUACAGGGUGUAGCGGUGAAAUGCGUUGAUACCCUGUAGAACACCGGAGGCGAAGGCGGAUUCCUUGAACAGUACUGACACUGAGGCGCGAAAGUCGGGGGAGCAAACAGGAUUAGAUACCCUGGUA
rnacentral:rRNA from 1 species